rnacentral:tRNA from 1 species
GGGAGUGUAGCUCUGAGGUAAAGCACUUGCCUAGCGUAUGCAAGGCCCUGGGUUCAAUUCCCAGCACCACUA